rnacentral:rRNA from 1 species
GUACGCUGGCGGCACGCCUAACACAUGCAAGUCGAACGAAGUAGCAAUACUUAGUGGCAGACGGGUGAGUAACAUGUAGGUAUCUGCCCUUUGGCCUGGAAUAACACGAGGAAACUUGUGCUAAUACCGGAUAAGUCUUUACGGAGAAAGCUUUAUGCACCAUUGGAUGAGCCUGCACUUGAUUAGUUUGUUGGUGGGGUAAUGGCCUACCAAGACUGUGAUCAAUAGCUGAUUUGAGAGGAUGAUCAGCCACAUUGGGACUGAGACACGGCCCAAACUCCUACGGGAGGCAGCAGUGGGGAAUCUUGCACAAUGGAGGAAACUCUGAUGCAGCGAUGCCGCGUGAGUGAAGAAGGCCUUUGGGUUGUAAAGCUCUUUCGUCGGGGAAGAAA